AUGACCCCGCGUCUACACCGGGAUGUUCAUAACCCUUUGUUGUCCGACUCUGUUGCCUCCGGGGCGACCCUGCCUUCGGGCGGGGGCUCCGGGUGGACACUUCAAACUCUUGCGUAACUUUGCAGUCUGAGUAAACUUAAUUAAUAAAUUAAAACUUUUAACAACGGAUCUCUUGGUUCUGGCAUCGAUGAAGAACGCAGCGAAAUGCGAUAAGUAAUGUGAAUUGCGAAUUCAGUGAAUCAUCGAAUCUUUGAACGCACAUUGCGCCCCCUGGUAUUCCGGGGGGCAUGCCUGUUCGAGCGUCAUUUCACCACUCAAGCCUCGCUUGGUAUUGGGCAUCGCGGUCCGCCGCGUGCCUCAAAUCGACCGGCUGGGUCUUCUGUCCCCUAAGCGUUGUGGAAACUAUUCGCUAAAGGGUGUUCGGGAGGCUACGCCGUAAAACAACCCCAUUUCUAAGGUUGACCUCGGAUCAGGUAGGGAUACCCGCUGAACUUAAGCAUAUCAAAAG
rnacentral:rRNA from 1 species